rnacentral:rRNA from 1 species
AGAGUUUGAUCCUGGCUCAGGAUGAACGCUAGCGGCAGGCCUAAUACAUGCAAGUCGAGGGGCAGCGGGAGUAGCAAUACUUGCCGGCGACCGGCGCACGGGUGCGUAACACGUAUACAAUCUGCCCUUAACUGGGGGAUAGCCCGGAGAAAUCCGGAUUAAUACCCCAUAACACAAGAAACGGCAUCGUUUUUUGUUGAAAGUUCCGACGGUUAAGGAUGAGUAUGCGUCUGAUUAGUUAGUUGGUGAGGUAACGGCUCACCAAGACCACGAUCAGUAGGGGAUCUGAGAGGAUUAACCCCCACACGGAUACUGAGACACGGAUCCGACUCCUACGGGAGGCAGCAGUAAGGAAUAUUGGACAAUGCCCGCAAGGGUGAUCCAGCCAUGCCGCGUGCAGGAAGACGGCCCUAUGGGUUGUAAACUGCUUUUAUACAAGAGAAAACCCCCUUACGUGUAAGGGGCUGAUAGUAUUGUAAGAAUAAGCAUCGGCUAACUUCGUGCCAGCAGCCGCGGUAAGACGAAGGAUGCAAGCGUUAUCCGGAUUCAUUGGGUUUAAAGGGAGCGUAGGUGGCCUUAUAAGUCAGUGGUGAAAGCCUGUUGCUUAACAACAGAAUUGCCAUUGAUACUGUAGGGCUUGAGUAUAGUUGCUGUGGGCGGAAUAUGACAUGUAGUGGUGAAAUACUUAGAGAUGUCAUAGAACACCGAUUGCGAAGGCAGCUCACAAAACUAUAACUGACACUGAGGCUCGAAAGCGUGGGGAGCAAACAGGAUUAGAUACCCUGGUAGUCCACGCCCUAAACGAUGUCAACUGGGUGUUGGGGAAGCGAUUCCUUGGUACCGUAGCUAACGCGUGAAGUUGACCGCCUGGGGAGUACGGCCGCAAGGUUAAACUCAAAGGAAUUGACGG